GCCAGAGGUCUGACUAACUUUUCCAGCCCUUUGCGAACAGUGGUGUAGAGGAAUAUCUAUGCAGAAUAUCUAGAAUGAACAUUUAUGAGCAUUUGUUGUGAUUUCCAAAGAACAAGAGGACAUAACAUUUGCGAACAUUGGAGUUAUUUGGGCUUUUUUUAGUCUCAUUUUACAUACGUUAUUGUUUUGACUUCGCCUGAAGACUACUUGGAGGUCUCAUUCUUACAGAUUUUUACCGAUAUUUCGGCUCUUUCUUUUUGGAAUACCAAAACAACACUAUGAAUAUCUUCCGUCUAGCCGGUGACGUGUCCCAUCUCAUUGCUAUCAUCAUUCUAUUUAUGAAGAUAUGGAGGUCCAAAUCCUGUGCCGGUAUUUCUGGGAAGUCUCAGGUGCUUUUUGCAUUAGUCUUCACUACAAGAUACCUGGACCUGUUCACUAGCUUCAUCUCCAUCUACAACACAGUUAUGAAGGUGGUGUUCCUGGCUUUGGCAUAUGCCACUGUGUACCUGAUCUACAUGCGCUUCAGGAGCACCUACGACUCAGAGAGUGACUCAUUCCGUGUUGAGUUCCUGCUUGUGCCUGUGGCUGGGCUUUCCUUCCUGGAAAACUAUGCAUUUGCCCCACUGGAUGUAAAUGUUCCAGGUUCAAUACAUACUGUAGAUAUUGAACAUACAGAUCCUGUGGACCUUCUCCAUCUACUUGGAGUCAGUGGCCAUCUUGCCCCAGCUCUUCAUGAUCACCAAGACCGGCGAAGCAGAGUCCAUCACCACCCACUACCUGUUCUUCCUGGGUCUCUACCGAGCCCUGUACCUGGCCAACUGGGUGUGGCGCUACCACACAGAGGGCUUCUUUGACCAGAUUGCUGUGGUGUCCGGUGUGGUGCAGACUAUCUUCUACUGUGACUUCUUCUACCUUUACGUUACCAGGGUGCUCAGAGGAAGUGGAAAGAUGUCCCUGCCCAUGCCCGUCUAAAGAGUCAGUGCUGUUUUAAGCAACACUUGAGCAGUUCAGUAACUGAAAGCACCUCUGCCCUUCAAUUAUACUUCGUAAUGACUAGUCAGCAGUGUCACAGUACCCCCUGUAUACCUUGGGGGGUAUAUACCCAGAGGGCAACCGUCGUGUUGUUGGUACCUGGUGUGUUUGUUGCUUAGCCUUAGUGAAUGUGUGCUUUUCCCUAAAAUGACCAAAGAACUUUGUCCUAUGUUUUUGUGCAUGUGUGUGUGGAACUGAAUGUUAAUGGGAAUUGAGUAAAUUGAAUACUGUGGGAUUUAUUUAUUUAUUAUACUUGCCUUAUUUUCUUUCAUAGAAGCAGAUAUUGUCCCGCUUGAAGUAGUCCAAUGCAGUUUGUGCCUUAAUUUUCCUUUUCUAGUAAAUGGCAUAUUUUGAAUGUCUUAUUACAUCAAAAAUUGUGUAAACAUUGUAUAUCUGUGAGAUAUUUGUUCUGCUUUCCUGUCUUUUCACAAUUUCUACAUAUAACAGUGACCAACCUUCAUGGCUUACAUUGUUUCACCUAGCAGUGUAUUGGGAGUCUUGCAUUUAGGCUGCUAUGGGUGAUAUGUGGCAUCCUUGUCAAGAGUUAUGCUAUGUUCUUCCCUUUAUGAAAAUAAGUCCAUGGAGAUGCCAUACAGAACGCACUGUUGUGUAUGUAACUCUUAUGUCUGUCCACUUCUUGACUGAACCAAGGUUCUUCCAUUCCUUUAAUAGUAAUGCAUUUUAUUAAGCAAAACGAAUACACAUUUUUGUGAUGUCACAGUUCAUACCAAAUAUAUUUUGUAUUUGAUGAGACAUCAACAGUUAUUUCACACUAACUAGAGUUCAUUCAUAUCUCAACAUUUAUUGAGUACAUUUUUGGACCAGGAUUACAUUGGCAAAAGCAGAUGAAUGUUUCAACAAAAUGGAAAGGUACUUACACUAAGUAUCUUCAUACUAUGAACUAGAUUUGUAUAUGUGUGCCAAACCUUUACAACUAUGGUGCCCAUGUUGUAAUGAUCAACAUUGUAAUACCAAGAACCUUCAUCAUUUGUAAAUCAGGUCAAUAAAAGGCAUUUUUACUGGUUCAUCAGGUUCUUCGUGUUGAUUACUUUAAAUUUUGUUUCAUCACACCAGGAUGUUUACUCCUUCUGCAUACUCACACUAGCGAUCCACACCAUUCAAAACCACACACACAAGUGAUUCACACCAC